CAGGCUUAACACAUGCAAGUCGAGGGGCAGCAUUUUAGUUUGCUUGCAAACUGAAGAUGGCGACCGGCGCACGGGUGAGUAACACGUAUCCAACCUGCCGAUAACUCCGGAAUAGCCUUUCGAAAGAAAGAUUAAUACCGGAUAGCAUACGAAUAUCGCAUGAUAUUUUUAUUAAAGAAUUUCGGUUAUCGAUGGGGAUGCGUUCCAUUAGUUUGUUGGCGGGGUAACGGCCCACCAAGACUACGAUGGAUAGGGGUUCUGAGAGGAAGGUCCCCCACAUUGGAACUGAGACACGGUCCAAACUCCUACGGGAGGCAGCAGUGAGGAAUAUUGGUCAAUGGGCGAGAGCCUGAACCAGCCAAGUAGCGUGAAGGAUGAAGGCUCUAUGGGUCGUAAACUUCUUUUAUAUGGGAAUAAAGUUUUCCACGUGUGGAAUUUUGUAUGUACCAUAUGAAUAAGGAUCGGCUAACUCCGUGCCAGCAGCCGCGGUAAUACGGAGGAUCCGAGCGUUAUCCGGAUUUAUUGGGUUUAAAGGGAGCGUAGGUGGAUUGUUAAGUCAGUUGUGAAAGUUUGCGGCUCAACCGUAAAAUUGCAGUUGAAACUGGCAGUCUUGAGUACAGUAGAGGUGGGCGGAAUUCGUGGUGUAGCGGUGAAAUGCUUAGAUAUCACGAAGAACUCCGAUUGCGAAGGCAGCUCACUAGACUGUCACUGACACUGAUGCUCGAAAGUGUGGGUAUCAAACAGGAUUAGAUACCCUGGUAGUCCACACAGUAAACGAUGAAUACUCGCUGUUUGCGAUAUACAGUAAGCGGCCAAGCGAAAGCAUUAAGUAUUCCACCUGGGGAGUACGCCGGCAACGGUGAAACUCAAAGGAAUUGACGGGGGCCCGCACAAGCGGAGGAACAUGUGGUUUAAUUCGAUGAUACGCGAGGAACCUUACCCGGGCUUAAACUGCAACAGAAUAUAUUGGAAACAGUAUAGCCGUAAGGCUGUUGUGAAGGUGCUGCAUGGUUGUCGUCAGCUCGUGCCGUGAGGUGUCGGCUUAAGUGCCAUAACGAGCGCAACCCUUAUCUUUAGUUACUAACAGGUUAUGCUGAGGACUCUAGAGAGACUGCCGUCGUAAGAUGUGAGGAAGGUGGGGAUGACGUCAAAUCAGCACGGCCCUUACGUCCGGGGCUACACACGUGUUACAAUGGGGGGUACAGAAGGCGGCUACCUGGUGACAGGAUGCUAAUCCCAAAAACCUCUCUCAGUUCGGAUCGAAGUCUGCAACCCGACUUCGUGAAGCUGGAUUCGCUAGUAAUCGCGCAUCAGCCAUGGCGCGGUGAAUACGUUCCCGGGCCUUGUACACACCGCCCGUCAAGCCAUGAAAGCCGGGGGUACCUGAAGUACGUAAACGCAAGGAGCGUCCUAGGGUAAAACUGGU
rnacentral:rRNA from 1 species